rnacentral:rRNA from 1 species
UGAACGCUGGCGGCAUGCCUUACACAUGCAAGUCGAACGGCAGCACGGGUGCUUGCACCUGGUGGCGAGUGGCGAACGGGUGAGUAAUACAUCGGAACAUGUCCUGUAGUGGGGGAUAGCCCGGCGAAAGCCGGAUUAAUACCGCAUACGAUCUACGGAUGAAAGCGGGGGACCUUCGGGCCUCGCGCUAUAGGGUUGGCCGAUGGCUGAUUAGCUAGUUGGUGGGGUAAAGGCCUACCAAGGCGACGAUCAGUAGCUGGUCUGAGAGGACGACCAGCCACACUGGGACUGAGACACGGCCCAGACUCCUACGGGAGGCAGCAGUGGGGAAUUUUGGACAAUGGGCGAAAGCCUGAUCCAGCAAUGCCGCGUGUGUGAAGAAGGCCUUCGGGUUGUAAAGCACUUUUGUCCGGAAAGAAAUCCUUGGCUCUAAUACAGUCGGGGGAUGACGGUACCGGAAGAAUAAGCACCGGCUAACUACGUGCCAGCAGCCGCGGUAAUACGUAGGGUGCGAGCGUUAAUCGGAAUUACUGGGCGUAAAGCGUGCGCAGGCGGUUUGCUAAGACCGAUGUGAAAUCCCCGGGCUCAACCUGGGAACUGCAUUGGUGACUGGCAGGCUAGAGUAUGGCAGAGGGGGGUAGAAUUCCACGUGUAGCAGUGAAAUGCGUAGAGAUGUGGAGGAAUACCGAUGGGCGAAAGGCAGCCCCCUGGGCCAAUACUGACGCUCAUGCACGAAAGCGUGGGGGAGCAAACAGGAUUAGAUACCCUGGUAGUCCACGCCCUAAACGAUGUCAACUAGUUGUUGGGGAUUCAUUUCCUUAGUAACGUAGCUAACGCGUGAAGCUGACCGCCUGGGGAGUACGGUCGCAAGAUUAAAACUCAAAGGAAUUGACGGGGACCCGCACAAGCGGUGGAUGAUGUGGAUUAAUUCGAUGCAACGCGAAAAACCUUACCUACCCUUGACAUGGUCGGAAUCCCGCUGAGAGGUGGGAGUGCUCGAAAGAGAACCGGCGCACAGGUGCUGCAUGGCUGUCGUCAGCUCGUGUCGUGAGAUGUUGGGUUAAGUCCCGCAACGAGCGCAACCCUUGUCCUUAGUUGCUACGCAAGAGCACUCUAAGGAGACUGCCGGUGACAAACCGGAGGAAGGUGGGGAUGACGUCAAGUCCUCAUGGCCCUUAUGGGUAGGGCUUCACACGUCAUACAAUGGUCGGAACAGAGGGUUGCCAACCCGCGAGGGGGAGCUAAUCCCAGAAAACCGAUCGUAGUCCGGAUUGCACUCUGCAACUCGAGUGCAUGAAGCUGGAAUCGCUAGUAAUCGCGGAUCAGCAUGCCGCGGUGAAUACGUUCCCGGGUCUUGUACUCACC